GCUGACGGCGUGCUUAACACAUGCAAGUCGCACGAGAACGUUCACCUUCGGGUGAAUCAGUAAAGUGGCGCACGGGUGAGUAACGCGUGGAUAAUCUGCCUUCAAGACGGGAAUAACAUUGCGAAAGCGAUGCUAAUACCGGAUAAGCUCACGAUUUGAUUGGUUGUGGGAAAAGAUGGCCUAGUCUAUGCUAUCGCUUGAAGAUGAGUCCGCGUACCAUUAGCUUGUUGGUAGGGUAAUGGCCUACCAAGGCAACGAUGGUUAGCUGG
rnacentral:rRNA from 1 species